GACAGAGGGUGCAAACGUUGUUCGGAAUUACUGGGCGUAAAGCGCGUGUAGGCGGCCCUGCAAGUCGGGUGUGAAAUCCCACGGCUCAACCGUGGAAGUGCACUCGAAACUGCAGGGCUAGAGUCCUGGAGAGGAAGGUGGAAUGCUUGGUGUAGAGGUGAAAUUCGUAGAUAUCAAGCGGAACACCGGUGGCGAAGGCGGCCUUCUGGACAGUGACUGACGCUGAGACGGCGAAAGCGUGGGGAGCAACAGG
rnacentral:rRNA from 1 species